rnacentral:rRNA from 1 species
GUGGGGAAUUUUGGACAAUGGGCGAAAGCCUGAUCCAGCAAUGCCGCGUGUGUGAAGAAGGCCUUCGGGUUGUAAAGCACUUUUGUCCGGAAAGAAAUCUGUCUGGCUAAUACCUAGAUGGGAUGACGGUACCGGAAGAAUAAGCACCGGCUAACUACGUGCCAGCAGCCGCGGUAAUACGUAGGGUGCGAGCGUUAAUCGGAAUUACUGGGCGUAAAGCGUGCGCAGGCGGUUUUGUAAGACCGAUGUGAAAUCCCCGGGCUUAACCUGGGAACUGCAUUGGUGACUGCAAGGCUAGAGUGCGUCAGAGGGGGGUGGAAUUCCGCGUGUAGCAGUGAAAUGCGUAGAGAUGCGGAGGAACACCGAUGGCGAAGGCAGCCCCCUGGGAUGACACUGACGCUCAUGCACGAAAGCGUGGGGAGCAAACAGGAUUAGAACCCGAGUAGUCC